rnacentral:rRNA from 1 species
GUAGUAUUUAUUAKAUUGAAACCAACCGCUUCGGCGUGAUGUGGUGAUUCAUAAUAAGCUAGCGGAUCGCAUGGCUUUGCCGGCGAUGGAUCAUUCAAGUUUCUGCCCUAUCAGCUUUGGAUUGGUGGGUAUUGGCCACCAAUGGCUUUAACGGGUAACGGGAAAUUGGGGUUUGAUUCCGGAGAGGGGGCCUGAGAGACGGCCACCACAUCCAAGGAAGGCAGCAGGCGCGUAAAUUACCCAAUCAUGACACAUGGAGGUAGUGACAAUAAAUAACAAUGCCGGGCCUUUGUAGGUCUGGCAAUUGGAAUGAGAACAAUUUAAAAUUCUUAUCGAGGAUCAAUUGGAGGGCAAGUCUGGUGCCAGCAGCCGCGGUAAUUCCAGCUCCAAUAGCGUAUAUUAAAGUUGUUGCARUUAAAAAGCUCGUARUUGGAUUUAUGGCGGUUCCCGGGGUCCAAUUUUUGGUACAUUCGGGGACUGCCAUCCUUGGGUGGAACCUGUGUGGAAUUAAGUUUUCGUGCAGGGGAUGCCCAUCGUUUACUGUGAAAAAAUCASAGUGCUUCAAGCAGGCUUAUG